AUUUUCCAGACCAGGCUGCAAAAGGUCUUCUUGAAUUCUGGAGAAAGGAUGUCCUCAUGACCAGCUUGCUGCCCUAUUGAUUUCCUACAUGACCUUGGGAAAGUCAUUUAACCUCUGUUCUGUAAAAUGGAAAGGAAAUCAGUUGGGAGGCUUGGCCUCCCUGCUGCCAGCACCAGCAUCAAAGCAGGACCCACCAGGACUGAAAGAAGGAAUUUCUCCAGUUUCAGCUUUAAAAAGUCACUAUCUUUUCCUGGAACAGUGGUGGAUUGCCACAGAGGCACUUCUGCAAGAGAAAUACAGCUUCCAUGCUCCCAAAUGCAAACUGAUGCAUCUAUCCCCUGCCUCCAACACUCCAGGAACCACGAGUUUCCUUUGUAUCCAUCACUGAGCACAACCAAGGCUCCUUCAGAAGGCCAGAUCCUGCUCCAAGAGCUCUAUUUUUUUACCAGCUCUGGACUUCACCUAACCCAUUGCCAGUGUGGUCUAAGCUAAACUAUAGCAAAG
ensembl:lncRNA